CUGCGGAAGGAUCAUUGUCGUGACCCUGACCAAAACAGACCGCGCACGCGUCAUCCAAUCCGUCGGCGACGGCACCGUCCGUCGCUCGGCCAAUGCCUCGACCACCUCCCCUCCUCGGAGCGGGUGGGGGCUCGGGGUAAAAGAACCCACGGCGCCGAAGGCGUCAAGGAACACUGUGCCUAACCCGGGGGCAUGUCUAGCUUGCUAGCCGUCCCUCGUGUUGCAAAGCUAUUUAAUCCACACGACUCUCGGCAACGGAUAUCUCGGCUCUCGCAUCGAUGAAGAACGUAGCGAAAUGCGAUACCUGGUGUGAAUUGCAGAAUCCCGCGAACCAUCGAGUCUUUGAACGCAAGUUGCGCCCGAGGCCACUCGGCCGAGGGCACGCCUGCCUGGGCGUCACGCCAAAACACGCUCCCAACCACCCUCAACGGGAUUCGGGAUGCGGCAUCUGGUCCCUCGUCUCUCAAGGGACGGUGGACCGAAGAUUGGGCUGCCGGCGUACCGCGCCGGACACAGCGCAUGGUGGGCGUCCUCGCUUUAUCAAUGCAGUGCAUCCGGCGCGCAGCUGGCAUUAUGGCCUUUGAACGACCCAACAAACGAAGCGCACGUCGCUUCGACCGCGACCCCAGGUCAGGCGGGACUACCCGCUGAGUUUAAGCA
rnacentral:rRNA from 3 species